GAUGAAGAACGCAGCGAAAUGCGAUAAGUAAUGUGAAUUGCAGAAUUCAGUGAAUCAUCGAAUCUUUGAACGCACCUUGCGCCCUUUGGCUAUUCCGAAGGGCAUGCCUGUUUGAGUAUCGUGAACACCUCAACUCUCAUGGUUUGCCAUGAUGAGCUUGGACUUUGGGGGUUUUGCUGGCCUUUGGUCGGCUCCUCUCAAACGGAUCAGCUUUCCAGUGUUUGGUGGCGUCACGGGUGUGAUAACUAUCUACGCCUGUGGUUUUCUGCCAGAUAACCUUCAGCGAUGGAGGUUCGCUUGGGCUCAUAAAUGUCUCUCUUCAGUGGAGACAGCUUUUUGGACGUUUGAUCUCAAAUCAGGUAGGACUACCCGCUGAACUUAAGCAUAUCAAUAAGCGGAGGA
rnacentral:misc_RNA from 1 species